UACGUAGGGGGCUAGCGUUGUCCGGAAUCAUUGGGCGUAAAGCGCGUGUAGGCGGUCCGGUAAGUCCGCUGUGAAAGUCGGGGGCUCAACCCUCGGAUGCCGGUGGAUACUGUCGGGCUUGAGUACGGAAGAGGCGAGUGGAAUUCCUGGUGUAGCGGUGAAAUGCGUAGAUAUCAAGAGGAACACCUGAGGUGAAGACGGGUUGCUGGGCCGACACUGACGCUGAAGCGCGAAAGCCAGGGGAGCAAACGGG
rnacentral:rRNA from 1 species